rnacentral:antisense_RNA from 1 species
GUCCGGCAGCGCCUGGCCAGGUGUGCUCGGAGCGUAGCUGUAGCAACGGGGCGGGCCUUGGUUCGCCUGGGGCGUGGUCGCUGUCUGGGUCUCCCACGUGGUUCGCCUCAUGGGUCUGGAGCUGGGCUUCUCUCGCCUCCUGUCGUCUGGCUGCACCGACUUUGCCCACGCCCUCACGGGAGACCCAGACACUAGGGACCCGGGGAGGCGCCCGGGCGGGGCCGCCAUGUUGGCAGAGAGUCCCAGCGUCCCGCGCCUCGGUUCCGGAACCCGCGGCGCGGGGAUGGGGCUGGGCUGCCCUUGGGCGCCGUCCUGGGCUGGGGGCCACCCUGGCCGCGUGGUCACCGGCAAGAAGCCCAGGGCCUCACCCAGGCGUGGGGGCCGGGGGAAGGACCGGACCCUCCCGAAGUCGCGGACCAGGCCGGGCGGCACCCGGGCUGGGGUGGCUGCUACCCCGAGCUAAGCUGGCUGCGCCGCAUCUCACGGUCCCCGGAGCCCGAGCGCUGCGCCUGGACCGGCGCCGAGCGAGGGGGCCAAGCGGCCGGCUGGACCCACAGUCCCUGCGCCAUAGGCGGGUCGGGGCUUUCAGACCCGGCUCCCAGCCCUCGAACUCGGUAACCUUGGAGGUCAGCUUGAGAUGACUGCGCUUCCUGCACGCCUUGUCCUCCCCAGAAACGCCCAAAAUGGCAAAGCGGCGUCCGUGGCCGCCGGAGGCCCUCCCUGCCUGGGUUCUCCCCAGCCGAACCUCACGCCCGGCCCCUCCCUCAUUCUCUCCUGGCCAGGCUGCUCCUGCCCCUUGGGCGAAUCCGCUGCGUCCCACGGUCCUGACUGGCAUUUCUGCGUGUCUGGAGGGCUCCCCCGGCAGCGACGUCCUGCUUAGCACGUGGCUCGUCUAACUCUGUUCCCCUGGCCUCCUGCUCUUCUAGGGGUCAUCUUUAGGUUUCUGCUGGUCUCUGCCCCCUGUGACACUUGCUGGUACCCAAAUGAAGUCGUUUAUGUCACACUCUAACAAGAGGCCCUGAAGAAGCCCUCACAAAAACAUUAGCAACGGAGCGCCUGCGGCAAACCCUUCUAACCUUUGGUCUUUAUGGUUUCAAAGCAGUUUAUGGGAACUUCUCUUUUUUAAAAGAUUCCCCUUGAGGCCAGGCGCAGUGGCUUCUGUAAUCCCAGGACUUUGGGAGGCCGAGGCAGGUGGAUCACUUGAGGUCAGGAGUUCAAGACUAGCCUGGCCAACAUGGUGAGACACCCGUCUCUACAAAAAACACAAAAAAAUUAGCAGGGCGUGGUUGGUGGCAGGCACCUGUAGUCCCAGCUACACGGGAGGCUUAGGCAGGAGAAUUCCUUGAACCCAGGAGGUGGAGGUUGCAGUGAGCCGAGAUGGCACCACUGCACUCCAGCCUGGGCAACAGAGCAAGACUCUGUCUCAAAAAAAAAAAAAAAAAAAAAAAAAACAAAUUCCCGUGGGCGGGGCACAGUGACUCAUGCCUGUAGUAAUCCCAGCACUUUUGGAGGCCAAGGUGGGCAGAUCCCCUGAGCUCAGGAGUCCAACCUGGGCAACAUGGUGAAACCCCUGUCUCUACAAAAAAUAAAAAAAUGAGUCCAGUGUGGUGGUGUGCACCUGUGGUCCCAGCUACUCUGGAGGCUGAGGUGGGAAGACCACCUAAGCCCAGGAGGUUGAGGCUGCAGUGAGCCAUGAUUGCACCACUGCACUCCAGCCUGGGCAACAGAGUGAGAUCCAGUCUCAAAAAAAAAAAAAUUCCCCCUUUCCUCAAUCCCCACCAUAUGCCUGUGACCCACUGAGGCUUGCAUACUCUGCAUUGCAAUUAUGUGUUAUUCUUGAUUAAAUUCAUUUAUUCUGG